rnacentral:tmRNA from 1 species
GGGGCCGUAUUGGAAUCGACAGGAUUGAUAACUUGUAAGUAAGCAUGCCGGAGCAAGAUUGGUCACUCCGUAAAAAAUGACAAUCAAACCUUUACAUGGCAACUAUCAGUAUGCCAUGGCUGCCUGAUACUAGGUAUCAAGGCGCCAUUGUGCCCUGCGUUUGACUCCUACUACACAGCGCAACGCACAUCAUCCAACCUGUAGGAUAGCCCAAAGGAAGGCCCCGGCCGGAGGGCGAAAACCCGGAUUGCCGGGACAGGGGAUAAGGCGCAGGCCGGGUCGGUCACAGAACCUAACCUGCGCUCGAAAACCUAAUCAGUGACUAAGCAUGUAGAAAGCUUAUGGGUGCUUUCUCUGGACCCGGGUUCAACUCCCGGCGGCUCCACAA